ACGAACGCUGGCGGCGUGCUUAACACAUGCAAGUCGAACGGAAAGGCCCUGCUUUUGUGGGGUGCUCGAGUGGCGAACGGGUGAGUAACACGUGAGUAACCUGCCCUUGACUUUGGGAUAACUUCAGGAAACUGGGGCUAAUACCGGAUAGGAGCUCCUGCUGCAUGGUGGGGGUUGGAAAGUUUCGGCGGUUGGGGAUGGACUCGCGGCUUAUCAGCUUGUUGGUGGGGUAGUGGCUUACCAAGGCUUUGACGGGUAGCCGGCCUGAGAGGGUGAGCGGGCACAGUGGGACUGAGAUACGGCGCAGAGGCCUACGGGAGGCAGCAGUGGGGAAUAUGGCACAACGGGCGGAAGCCUGAUGCAGCAACGCCGCGGGCGGGAUGACGGCCUUCGGGUUGUAAACCGCGUUCGCCUGUGACGAAGCGUGAGUGACGGUAAGGGGUAAAGAAGCACCGGCUAACUACGUG
rnacentral:rRNA from 1 species